UCUCCGUAGGUGAACCUGCGGAGGGAUCAUUACAGAGUUCAUGCCCUACCGGGUAGAUCUCCCACCCUAGGUUAUUAUUACUUUGUUGCUUUGGCGGGCCGUUAGGCUCCGGCCCGACUACCGGCCCCGGCUGGUAAGCGCCCGCCAGAGGACCCAAAACCCUGAAUAUUAGUGUCGUCUGAGUACUAUAUAAUAGUUAAAACUUUCAACAACGGAUCUCUUGGUUCUG
rnacentral:misc_RNA from 1 species